UAAAACGUGCAAGGGAGCUUCCGCGAGGAGGCUGAGAUGAGGGGCCGGUCCCUCGACCUGACCUGAUGUGGGUAAUGCCAACGUAGGGACGCAGCACAAGCUAUUCG
rnacentral:ncRNA from 1 species